ACGGGAAGAGCCCAAACCAACAAGCUUGCUUGUUGGGGUUGUAGGACACUCUAUACGGAGUUACAAAGGACGACAUUAGACGAAUCAUCUGGAAAGAUGAAUCAAAGAAGGUAAUAAUCCUGUAGUCGAAAAUGUUGUCUCUCUUGAGUGGAUCCUGAGUACGACGGAGCACGUGAAAUUCCGUCGGAAUCUGGGAGGACCAUCUCCUAAGGCUAAAUACUCUCUAGUGACCGAUAGUGAACCAGUACCGUGAGGGAAAGGUGAAAAGCACCCCGGAAGGGGAGUGAAAUAGAACCUGAAACCGUGUGCUUACAAGUAGUCAGAGCCCGUUAAUGGGUGAUGGCGUGCCUUUUGUAGAAUGAACCGGCGAGUUACGAUUUGAUGCAAGGUUAAGCAGUAAAUGUGGAGCCGUAGCGAAAGCGAGUCUGAAUAGGGCGUUUAGUAUUUGGUCGUAGACCCGAAACCAGGUGAUCUACCCUUGGUCAGGUUGAAGUUCAGGUAACACUGAAUGGAGGACCGAACCGACUUACGUUGAAAAGUGAGCGGAUGAACUGAGGGUAGCGGAGAAAUUCCAAUCGAACCUGGAGAUAGCUGGUUCUCUCCGAAAUAGCUUUAGGGCUAGCCUCAAGUGAUGAUUAUUGGAGGUAGAGCACUGUUUGGACGAGGGGCCCCUCUCGGGUUACCGAAUUCAGACAAACUCCGAAUGCCAAUUAAUUUAACUUGGGAGUCAGAACAUGGGUGAUAAGGUCCGUGUUCGAAAGGGAAACAGCCCAGACCACCAGCUAAGGUCCCAAAAUAUAUGUUAAGUGGAAAAGGAUGUGGCGUUGCCCAGACAACUAGGAUGUUGGCUUAGAAGCAGCCAUCAUUUAAAGAGUGCGUAAUAGCUCACUAGUCGAGUGACACUGCGCCGAAAAUGUACCGGGGGCUAAACAUAUUACCGAAGCUGUGGAUUGUCCUUUGGACAAUGGUAGGAGAGCGUUCUAAGGGCGUUGAAGCAUGAUCGUAAGGACAUGUGGAGCGCUUAGAAGUGAGAAUGCCGGUGUGAGUAGCGAAAGACGGGUGAGAAUCCCGUCCACCGAUUGACUAAGGUUUCCAGAGGAAGGCUCGUCCGCUCUGGGUUAGUCGGGUCCUAAGCUGAGGCCGACAGGCGUAGGCGAUGGAUAACAGGUUGAUAUUCCUGUACCACCUAUAAUCGUUUUAAUCGAUGGGGGGACGCAGUAGGAUAGGCGAAGCGUGCGAUUGGAUUGCACGUCUAAGCAGUAAGGCUGAGUAUUAGGCAAAUCCGGUACUCGUUAAGGCUGAGCUGUGAUGGGGAGAAGACAUUGUGUCUUCGAGUCGUUGAUUUCACACUGCCGAGAAAAGCCUCUAGAUAGAAAAUAGGUGCCCGUACCGCAAACCGACACAGGUAGUCAAGAUGAGAAUUCUAAGGUGAGCGAGCGAACUCUCGUUAAGGAACUCGGCAAAAUGACCCCGUAACUUCGGGAGAAGGGGUGCUCUUUAGGGUUAACGCCCAGAAGAGCCGCAGUGAAUAGGCCCAAGCGACUGUUUAUCAAAAACACAGGUCUCUGCUAAACCGUAAGGUGAUGUAUAGGGGCUGACGCCUGCCCGGUGCUGGAAGGUUAAGAGGAGUGGUUAGCUUCUGCGAAGCUACGAAUCGAAGCCCCAGUAAACGGCGGCCGUAACUAUAACGGUCCUAAGGUAGCGAAAUUCCUUGUCGGGUAAGUUCCGACCCGCACGAAAGGCGUAACGAUUUGGGCACUGUCUCAACGAGAGACUCGGUGAAAUCAUAGUACCUGUGAAGAUGCAGGUUACCCGCGACAGGACGGAAAGACCCCGUGGAGCUUUACUGUAGCCUGAUAUUGAAAUUCGGCACAGCUUGUACAGGAUAGGUAGGAGCCUUUGAAACGUGAGCGCUAGCUUACGUGGAGGCGCUGGUGGGAUACUACCCUAGCUGUGUUGGCUUUCUAACCCGCACCACUUAUCGUGGUGGGAGACAGUGUCAGGCGGGCAGUUUGACUGGGGCGGUCGCCUCCUAAAAGGUAACGGAGGCGCUCAAAGGUUCCCUCAGAAUGGUUGGAAAUCAUUCAUAGAGUGUAAAGGCAUAAGGGAGCUUGACUGCGAGACCUACAAGUCGAGCAGGGUCGAAAGACGGACUUAGUGAUCCGGUGGUUCCGCAUGGAAGGGCCAUCGCUCAACGGAUAAAAGCUACCCCGGGGAUAACAGGCUUAUCUCCCCCAAGAGUUCACAUCGACGGGGAGGUUUGGCACCUCGAUGUCGGCUCAUCGCAUCCUGGGGCUGUAGUCGGUCCCAAGGGUUGGGCUGUUCGCCCAUUAAAGCGGUACGCGAGCUGGGUUCAGAACGUCGUGAGACAGUUCGGUCCCUAUCCGUCGUGGGCGUAGGAAAUUUGAGAGGAGCUGUCCUUAGUACGAGAGGACCGGGAUGGACAUACCUCUGGUGUACCAGUUGUCGUGCCAACGGCAUAGCUGGGUAGCUAUGUGUGGACGGGAUAAGUGCUGAAAGCAUCUAAGCAUGAAGCCCCCCUCAAGAUGAGAUUUCCCAACUUCGGUUAUAAGAUCCCUCAAAGAUGAUGAGGUUAAUAGGUUCGAGGUGGAAGCAUGGUGACAUGUGGAGCU
rnacentral:rRNA from 1 species